UCCUGGCUUAGGAUGAACGCUAGCGACAGGCUAACACAUGCAAGUCGAGGGGCAUCACGGGAGUAGCAAUACAACGUGGUGGCGACCGGCGCACGGGUGAGUAACGCGUAUGCAACCUACCUAUCGAGAGGGGAAUAACCCGGCGAAAGUCGGACUAAUACCGCAUAAAACAGGGGCACCGCAUGGUGAUAUUUGUUAAAGAAAUUCGCUGAUAGAUGGGCAUGCGCUCCAUUAGGUAGUUGGUGAGGUAGCGGCUCACCAAGCCGACGAUGGAUAGGGGAACUGAGAGGUUGGUCCCCCACACUGGUACUGAGACACGGACCAGACUCCUACGGGAGGCAGCAGUGAGGAAUAUUGGUCAAUGGGCGGGAGCCUGAACCAGCCAAGUCGCGUGAAAGGAAGAAGGAUCUAUGGUUCGUAAACUUCUUUUGCAGGGGAAUAAAGUGCAGGACGUGUCCUGUUUUGUAUGUACCCUGAGAAUAAGGAUCGGCUAACUCCGUGCCAGCCGCAGC
rnacentral:rRNA from 1 species